CCAUCCAUGCCAUUGAAAUUAAUAGGACCAAGCUGGUUGCUUGUUACCAUCCAAUACCAAGGAGUCAUACAUAUAUAUAUAUAUAUUGCCACCGCAUUAAGAUAUUUGUGGAAACAAGAUGCACCAGAACUUGUAAUCAGAUCUAUCAUGCAUACGUAUAUCUGCUAGGGUUCAUCACGCAUGGUGUCAGAGGAAUUUGGAAUGCAGAACAUCUUAUUCAAGAGAAUUGGAUUUCUGAAUAUUGAUGUGUACUUGUACGUUCCCAUUUUGGAAGGUAGAAAAUUGUUUCCAGAGAAAAGCGGGUUCCAUUGUAGAAAAAUUAAAACGAGUCUUAAAUUCUCUAUACAAGGUACAUUUUACAAA